rnacentral:rRNA from 1 species
UACGGAGGGUGCAAGCGUUAUCCGGAUUCACUGGGUUUAAAGGGUGCGUAGGCGGGUAUGUAAGUCCGUGGUGAAAUCCUGCAGCUUAACUGCAGAACUGCCGUGGAUACUAUAUAUCUUGAAUGUUGUUGAGGUGAGUGGAAUAUGUCAUGUAGCGGUGAAAUGCUUAGAGAUGACAUAGAACACCGAUUGCGGAGGCAGCUCGCUAAACAAAUAUUGACGCUGAGGCACGAAAGCGUGGGUAGCAAAC